UUUGGGGAUGUAAUAUCUUCGGUCGAUUCUCAAACUUUAAAUACGCAAGAUAGAGAUGGUUGCUUAAUUGAACCUCUCUACUGAAAACGUCGGCCCUGUGGGCCACUUUUGGUAAGCAGAACUGGCGAUAUGGGAUGAACCAUAAGUUUGGUUAAGGCGUCAAAAUACACGCUUAAAGAUCCCACAAAAGGUGUUGGUUCAUCUAGACAGCAGGACGGUGGCCAUGGAAGUCGGAAUCCGCUAAGGAGUGUGUAACAACUCACCUGCCGAAUGAACUAGCCCUGAAAAUGGAUGACGCUUAAGCGGGUUGCCGACACCAGACCGUUUCGAUAAGAAGCGAUCGAAAUGAGUAGGAGGGCGUGGCGGUUUUGUUGUGAAGGAUGAGACGCAAGUCUAUCUGAAACGGCCGCUAGUGCAGAUCUUGGUGGUAGUAGCAAAUAUUCAAGCGAGAUCCUUGAAGGGCGAAGCGGGGAAGGGUUCCACGCGAACAUUGAUUGGGCGUGGGUGAGUCGUUCCUAAGCCGGGUGGUAAUCGUUCUUCGAUCGGCGAAAGGGAAGCGGGUUAAAAUUCUCGCACACGGAUGUGGAGGCGGUGACGCAAAUUGAGGUGGAGACGUUAGCGGUGGCACUGGGCAGAGUUUUCUUUUCUGUUUAACCUGUGAGUGCACUCUGUGGAAUCCGAUUAUCGGGCGAAACAGGUGCUUAUGGGAAGAGCGUCGGGGCGUCCCCGGCGUCCAGUACGCCACCGAUAGCCCUUGAAAAUCCAUCUGCAAUGAAAUUUCACGCCGUGGCGUACCGAUAACCGCAUCAGGUCCCCAAGGUGAACAGCCUCUGCUCAAUAUGAACAAUGCAGGUAAGGGAAGUCGGCAAAAUAGACCCGUAACUUUGGGAAAAGGGUUGGCUCUAGUGGGGUGGGGGNAUUUUACUGAAUUAUUUGGGUUUGGUUUGGCUGUGUCGA
rnacentral:rRNA from 1 species